rnacentral:pre_miRNA from 1 species
ACAUACAUCAUUUGGGCAUGUUAUUAAGAUGCAGAUUCUGAUGCAGCCAGUCUGGAGCUGGCCAUGAGAGUUGCAUUUCUAACAGGCUCCCAGGUGAUACUGAU